rnacentral:rRNA from 1 species
AUUGAACGCUGGCGGCAUGCCUUACACAUGCAAGUCGAACGGGAGCGGGGGAGAAGCUUGCUUUUCCUGCCGGCGAGUGGCGAACGGGUGAGUAAUACAUCGGAACGUGCCCUGUAGUGGGGGAUAACUAGUCGAAAGAUUAGCUAAUACCGCAUACGACCUGAGGGUGAAAGUGGGGGACCGCAAGGCCUCAUGCUAUAGGAGCGACCGAUGUCUGAUUAGCUAGUUGGUGGGGUAAAGGCCUACCAAGGCGACGAUCAGCAGCUGGUCUGAGAGGACGAGCCGCAUCCCUGGAGCUGAGACACGGCCCACACUCCUGCGGGGGGCGGCAGUGGGGAAUUUUGGACAAAGGGCGAAAGGCUGAUCAAGCAAUGACGCGUGUGUGAAGAAGGCCUUCGGGUUGUAAAGCACUUUUGUCCGGAAAGAAAUGGCUCUGGUUAAUACCUGGAGUCGAUGACGGUACCGGAAGAAUAAAGACCGGCUAACAACGUGCCAGCCGCCGCAGUAA